rnacentral:rRNA from 1 species
UGGGGAAUAUUGCACAAUGGGCGAAAGCCUGAUGCAGCAACGCCGCGUGAGUGAUGAAGGUCUUCGGAUUGUAAAGCUCUGUCUUUUGGGACGAUAAUGACGGUACCAAAGGAGGAAGCCACGGCUAACUACGUGCCAGCAGCCGCGGUAAUACGUAGGUGGCGAGCGUUGUCCGGAUUUACUGGGCGUAAAGGGUGCGUAGGCGGAUGUUUAAGUGAGAUGUGAAAUACCCGGGCUUAACUUGGGUGCUGCAUUUCAAACUGGAUAUCUAGGGUGCAGGAGAGGAGAAUGGAAUUCCUAGUGUAGCGGUGAAAUGCGUAGAGAUUAGGAAGAACACCAGUGGCGAAGGCGAUUCUCUGGACUGUAACUGACGCUGAGGCACGAAAGCGUGGGUAGCAAACAGGAUUAGAUACCCUGGUAGUCCACGCCGUAAACGAUGAGUACUAGGUGUAGGAGGUAUCGACCCCUUCUGUGCCGCAGUAAACACAUUAAGUACUCCGCCUGGGAAGUACGAUCGCAAGAUU